rnacentral:piRNA from 1 species
UGGAUGAUUGCCUGGAGUAGAAUCAC